UACGGUGAUACUGGAUUUCAUCUAGGAAUUCAAUACACGGAUGCUCUUUUGCCACCAAAAGCCCGCAAAACACUAACAAUGCUCGAUUACUAUGCACACUGCUGUCACUACAAGCCUGGUCAGUACAAUCCAUACUUAUGUUGUGGGAGAGGUUCCAAUCAAAUAGAAGUAAACCCAAUCAAAUAGAAGUAAACCGUCUAUGGUACCUUGUCUGUAAACAGGACGAAUUUAGAUCUGACAAUUUCCAAACUAUGAGUGACGCUGUUGGAAAAGGUUGUAUCGAUGGUGAAAAGAUAGGUCAGAAAACUGUUCUGCCUGGAAGUUUUACAGGAGGUCAACGCUAUUAUGUCCAGCAUUACCAAGAUGGCAUGGCCAUUUGCCGGGUCCAUGGUGGACCUGACAUCUUUAUCACCUUCACCUGCAACACGAAAUGGACUGAAAUUAGUGAGGCGCUCUGCUACGAACCAGGUCAGGUCCCAUCCGAUUGACCUGACAUUGUUAAUAGGGUAUACAAAAUGAAACAAGAUCAUUUCAUUAAAAAGAUUAAAAAGGCAAAGUAUUUGGUCCCGUAGCAGCAGGUAUGUUCCUUUGCACUUAAUAUUUUGGUCCAUGUUUUCCAGAACCGUUUACUUAUACUUUUUACGUAUUCUUCUUGGCAGUGCUACACAACACUGAGUUCCAGAAGAGAGGACUACCACAUGUGCACUGUCUUGCUUGGCUUAAAAACAAGAAUAAAAAGGAUACACUAGCCACUAUAGACUCCCUGAUUAGUGCUGAGAUACCUGACGUGAUUUCAGACCGAUAUGCACUUGUUUCUGAAUUUAUGAUGUUGUGGUUCUAUGAACAAAAAAUGCUCAUGUAUGAAAAAUGAUGUAUGUUCUAAGCAUUACCCUAAAUCGUUCCAAGAUGAGACUUCAAUUGAUGCACAGGGUUUUGCAAUUUACAGGCAUCGCAAUGAUGGUCGUUAUAUUACUAAAAAUGGUCACUGUCUUGAUAAUAAAAAAUAAAAAUGCCCUUGUAUGAAAAAUGAUGUUUGUUCUAAGCAUUACCCUAAAUCGUUCCAAGAUGAGACUUCAAUUGAUGCACAGGGUUUUGCAAUUUACAGGCGUCGCAAUGAUGGUCGUUAUAUUACUAAAAAUGUUCACCGUCUUGAUAAUAGAUAUGUUGUUCCGUAUAAUAUAUACCUUCUUAAAAAAUAUCAGGCUCAUAUCAGUACUGAAUGGUGCAACAAAACAAGAGUCGUCAAGUAUCUUUUCAAGUAUUGUCACAAAGGGCAAAGUACUUUGAUUGGUUGCAGCACUGAUGUUGAAACUCAACAUUAUUCAUCAGAACUGAGGUGUAAGCUCAUUGUUCAGAGAUCAGAGAACUCACAAAGUAAUCAAAGCACCUGCUGAUGGUACUAAUAUUGACAGAUUUGUAAUAGUCUGUUGAUCAUCAUCUCUCCCUUAUUCAUGUUAGAGGUAAUCCAGUGACAUUAUCUAUGAUGGUCUUAUAUUAUGCCUACUCUCCUUGUGUUGAUUGGCAAUAUUCUCCUGCCAGUAUCAAAGAAAAUGAAUGUGUAGUAAAAAAUGCAUUCUUGAUUAUUUUAUUGCAAUGAUGAACUGCUGAUCCAUAUUUGGCAAGUAAGAGUGUAAUAGUUAGUUUCUUACUGUAGUUCAUUAGCACUUACCACAUCUCAGUCCCUUCUAUAAGGAUCCAGAAAAACAUUUCUUAGAUGAGCUUAAAUAAAUGAUUUUAGAUGGAGGACAGAGUGGGAUAACACCAUUGUAAUACACUUCUCAUUUUUGCCUCAACAAGUUCUGAAAUCCUUGUAAGUUGUAUCCCACUUGAUCCUACUAAUAUCUGAAUGACUAGCAAUAUUCAGACAGUGUUUGUAUCUUUGUUGGUAAUAAAUCACUAUCUUGGUUGCCAUGAUUUUACUUUGGUCGGCCUGCCAUAGUUGAGGCAUCGAAUCGACAACAGGAGGUAGAAGGUGGCACAUCAACCAGGUAAACUCUCCUCGCCUUCAUAUUGUCUAAGCUUCACUUAAUCCCUAGAAAAUAUAAUUCCAUUCUCUACUCCCCUUCCUCUAGACGGUGCCACCCCUAAACAGUUCAGAUUUGUUGCCGAAACACUGGGACUGCUAUCUCUGACCAGUCCUACCUCAUGCUUGCUAUUCCCCGGCGCCACCCCUAAAUAGUUCAGUAUUCGGCUCCUCCAUGUAUGACUGCCUUUGAUAAGUUUCAAUUUGGUUAGCCAUUCCAAGAGCUAAGGUGUUUCUUCAGAUCCAGUUUUCUUGCUUUUCUGGGAAAUAUGGGCACUACAUGGAGAAGAGUUCUUCAGAUUUGAAGUCAACUACACAUGCUCUUCAUUCAUUUCCUGUCUAAUGAAAUGACACUGAAGGCUCUUUUCAGCAACAUGGAGGACUCUUUACAAAUCUGAAUUUAUUUUGUUGGUUACUUGGUAACUGGUUAGGGUCUUCUCACACGAGUAUUGAAAAUUUUAUUAAUUGAGGUUUGAGAAACUGAAUUGGGUAGCUUUCGCAGGUGAGCUUACAUAUGGACCAUGUCAACACCUUGUCUGCUUCAGCCUUGGCCAUGUAAGCAACUGCUACCAAGAACCUAUCUGGAAGUUGUGGUGAUGGUCGCCCACAGAAAUGGAUGAGGAGAUGGUGAAAGUGAUCGAAGGGGAGGAGCAGCAGACCUAUCGUUGCUGUCGUGCCUCAGGUGCAACCCUAGCGCGCCAUUGGAAUAGGGGCGUGCGCCAUGGAGAGGAGAAGCUAAAAUUCUGGGUGUGUGCAAACCGAUAGAAUGUCGUACCGUAUUGAUGCUUUUGUAAGCUUUUUACAUCUAAUUUAUGUCGGUAGGGGGUUUCACUACCAAAUAGAUUUAAAUUUUAACUUCCACGUAACUCAUUGUGUCAAUUCUUAUUAUACUAUUGUAUAAAAAAUUCCGAUGUUCAAUUGCAAAUCGGUUGAACCGACAUUGAA